AAAAUUUAGUUAAAAAAUAACAUUAGUUUGUCAAGCUAAAAUUAUCCUAUUGAUAAUUUUUA
rnacentral:tRNA from 1 species